rnacentral:rRNA from 1 species
GACGAACGCUGGCGGCGUGCUUAACACAUGCAAGUCGAACGGAAAGGCCCUGCUUUUGUGGGGUGCUCGAGUGGCGAACGGGUGAGUAACACGUGAGUAACCUGCCCUUGACUUUGGGAUAACUUCAGGAAACUGGGGCUAAUACCGGAUAGGAGCUCCUGCUGCAUGGUGGGGGUUGGAAAGUUUCGGCGGUUGGGGAUGGACUCGCGGCUUAUCAGCUUGUUGGUGGGGUAGUGGCUUACCAAGGCUUUGACGGGUCGCCGGCCUGAGAGGGUGACCGGCCACAUUGGGACUGAGAUACGGCCCAGACUCCUACGGGGGGCAGCAGUGGGGAAUAUGGCACAAUGGGCGGAAGCCUGAUGCAGCAACGCCGCGUGCGGGAUGACGGCCUUCGGGUUGUAAACCGCUUUCGCCUGUGACGAAGCGUGAGUGACGGUAAUGGGUAAAGAAGCACCGGCUAACUACGUG